rnacentral:rRNA from 1 species
CGCGGCCUAUCAGCUUGUUGGUGAGGUAACGGCUCACCAAGGCAACGACGGGUAGCUGGUCUGAGAGGACGAUCAGCCACACUGGGACUGAGACACGGCCCAGACUCCUACGGGAGGCAGCAGUGGGGAAUAUUGCACAAUGGGCGCAAGCCUGAUGCAGCAACGCCGCGUGGGGGACGAAGGCCUUCGGGUUGUAAACCCCUUUUAGCAGGGAAGAAGCGCAAGUGACGGUACCUGCAGAAAAAGCACCGGCUAACUACGUGCCAGCAGCCGCGGUAAUACGUAGGGUGCAAGCGUUGUCCGGAAUUAUUGGGCGUAAAGAGCUCGUAGGCGGUGUGUCGCGUCUGCUGUGAAAAUCCAAGGCUCAACCUUGGACCUGCAGUGGGUACGGGCACACUAGAGUGCGGUAGGGGAGAUUGGAAUUCCUGGUGUAGCGGUGGAAUGCGCAGAUAUCAGGAGGAACACCAAUGGCGAAGGCAGAUCUCUGGGCCGUAACUGACGCUGAGGAGCGAAAGCGUGGGGAGCGAACAGGAUUAGAUACCCUGGUAGUCCACGCCGUAAACGGUGGGAACUAGAUGCGGGGUCCGUUCCACGGAUUCCGUGUCGCAGCUAACGCAUUAAGUUCCCCGCCUGGGGAGUACGG